AGUUUGAUCCUGGCUUAGGACGAACGCUGGCGGCGUGCUUAACACAUGCAAGUCGAACGAUGACGAUGGUGCUUGCACCGUCUGAUUAGUGGCGAACGGGUGAGUAACACGUGAGUAACCUGCCCUCCUCUUCGGGAUAACCGCCGGAAACGGUGGCUAAUACCGGAUAUGAAUGCCUGCCGCAUGGUGGGUGUUGGAAAGAUUUAUCGGUGGGGGAUGGACUCGCGGCCUAUCAGUUUGUUGGUGAGGUAAUGGCUCACCAAGGCGAUGACGGGUAGCCGGCCUGAGAGGGCGACCGGCCACACUGGGACUGAGACACGGCCCAGACUCCUACGGGAGGCAGCAGUGGGGAAUAUUGCACAAUGGGCGAAAGCCUGAUGCCAGCGACGCCGCGUGGGGGAUGACGGCCUUCGGGUUGUAAACCUCUUUCAGCAGGGAAGAAGCGAGAGUGACGGUACCUGCAGAAGAAGCGCCGGCUAACUACGUGCCAGCAGCCGC
rnacentral:rRNA from 1 species